UGUAAUGACAAGAGGGGAGGAAGAGAGCAUCAGGCUGGGCUCCCAGAUCUUUCAUUUAUCUGGGAGACUUUAUGAUGCAUAGGCUCCUUGCAGAGCACUUGGUGGAAGUGAUAAAAUGGCUGUAUACAAAGCAAAGCUGAAUGCUUUGGCUUGACGAGAUGCCUUUUUCCGAGAUGACAAAAGAAAUGCUCUAGAGAUCUUGCCAGAAAUCUCCAGCAAUGGAAAUCCUAACUAAGACAGCCUGGAAAAGCCCAGGAAGUGAAGGCAGGACAUGUAUGGUGAAAUGGAAACCUGGAGUCACCCUUGAGGUACAAGGACAUCGUAGGAUGAAAAUCACAGAGUUCUGCUGCCCGUGCACCUCUUCUUCCCUCCAAAUCCCACUGUGUCCACUGUGGUAGGAAGCCAGCAGUGAGCUCCGUCAGCUGAGGGAAGAAUCAGGCUCCUGGAGUUUAGUGGGAGUUGGAAUCAACCUGCUGGAGUCUUCUGGAAUGAUUUAAAAAUAACUCCCUGAUUUCCAGACAUUCAGAUUUAACUGGAUGAAGAUGCAGCCUAGGAACCAGGCUUCGUAAAUCUCUCCCAGGCAUUUCCAAUGUAUGGCAAAAGCUAAGAGUCGCUAGCUGGAGGUAUCUUGAGUGGCUCCUCUGGUUGGCUUUAGUAGUCAGGUUCUCUGGCAAUGACUACCAAAGAUCUCAAAGUCAUGAGUCUGCACUACUGGCUUCUAAGUCAAAGUGAUUCAAACUCCAGCUAAAAAUGGAUUCUAUCUUCAGCAGGUCUCCCAGAAUGCAUCCAUGUUUCAGUCUGAGCUCCCCUCACCUUGCUGGAUAAAUACAGAAUAUUAUGAAUA